rnacentral:rRNA from 1 species
UACAGAGGGUGCAAGCGUUGUCCGGAAUCACUGGGCGUAAAGGGCGCGUAGGUGGCCUGAUAAGUAGGAGGUGAAAUCCUGGGGCUUAACCUCAGGGCUGCCUUCUAGACUGUCCGGCUCGAGCACAGUAGAGGCAGGUGGAAUUCCCGGUGUAGAGGUGAAAUUCGUAGAUAUCGGGAGGAACACCGGUGGCGAAGGCGGCGACCUGGGUAGAUACUGACGCUGAGGUGCGAAAGCGUGGGGAGCAAACAGG